GUCUAUAUUCUCAGUUCUGGGGAGGAAGGAAGUCCUCACUUUAAAUGAACCGUGAAAGAUGAAAUGAUAGCUCAAAGGCUUGUGUUGGCAGACCAGGUGGAGCUGAAGUUUCCUAUUCUUUAGCUCAUUCAUUAUGACUCUGCAGGUGGGGCCCUCUCUGAGAUCGCCAUGAACAACCCAGGGGAAGACAGGCCUGAGGCAAGCAACGGCUUGCUGGCCCAAGGGAUUCACCAGAGGAAAGCAGUCUCCUUCAUUUCCCUUCCCUCCCUCUGCACACACUCUCUGUGGACUGGGAGGUGAGAAGUGGACUGGUGAUGCCGAUUACUGGGAAUUUCCCCAAAGAACAAGAAGAAACGAUCUCUUAUUGACUGCUCAAGAAGGAAGCUUACUGCCAGGUCCUUGAGGUCUGCCCUCUACAGAGAAGAAGCACUGCUUGAGAGACACUCAGAGGAGUGGCAGAUUCAAGUCUAGACUCUACCCUAAUCAACUGGUGGCCGUGGAUGGGUUAACCAGGGAUGGCUGCAUGAUGUAGUGGUGAAAAUCAGACUUACAGUCAGACAGACCUGUGUUCUAAUCCUGACCCUGCCUCUUAUUAACUAUAUAAAUGUAGACAAAGCC